AGUGGAGUAUUGGGUCUAGUCACUUGGGCAUAGAGAUUGAGUUCCUUCCUUGGGUGCGCAACAAGUUACAUGAGGUUCAAGGAGUUCCAAUAUCAAUCAUGUUGAGCCCAAUUGAAUUAUGGGGUGAGCGUAGAGAUGGAGCCCAACCAUGAAGCACCAAAUCACUAUGAGUUGAAUCUAUUAUUGAGCCAUGAGUCCAACAUUAGGUGUCAAGUCAUAUUGGGUCAUGUGUGGAGAAUUUAAUUUAGUCACGUGAGUGAAAUUAAGUCCAAGUUGUGGUAAGAUUAAGUCCUUGUAAUAAGUGAAAUUAGUUCACAAUUGAUUAGGGUCUUCAAUGCUUAAUUAGGCUGAUUCUCAAGCAUUGAAAGGAUCUUAGAUUGUGUGGGAUUGCUCCAUGUGUCCCACGGAAGAAGUCCUA
rnacentral:lncRNA from 1 species